GACAGAGGCCACAAGCGUUAGGCGGAAUCACUGGGCUUAAAGCGUGUGUAGGCGGAGGCGUAAGUGUCUUGUGAAAUCCCCCGGCUCAACCGGGGAACCGCUGGGCAUACUGCGCCUCUUGGGCCAGCUAGGGGUCACCGGAACGAGCGGUGGAGCGGUGAAAUGCGUAGAUAUCGCUCGGAACGCCGACGGCGAAAGCAGGUGACUGGGGCUGUGCCGACGCUGAGACACGAAAGCCAGGGGAGCAAACAGG
rnacentral:rRNA from 1 species